rnacentral:rRNA from 1 species
GGACUACAGGGGUUUCUAAUCCUGUUCGCUCCCCACGCUUUCGCUCCUCAGCGUCAGUGCCGGCCCAGACCACCGCCUUCGCCACCGGUGUUCCUCCUGAUAUCUGCGCAUUUCACCGCUACACCAGGAAUUCCGUGGUCCCCUACCGGACUCUAGCCAUGGCAGUAUUGAGUGGCGUCUCCAGGUUAAGCCUGGAGGUUUCACACCCAACUAACCAAGCCGCCUACGAGCUCUUUACGCCCAAUGAAUCCGGACAACGCUCGCCCCCUACGUAUUACCGCGGCUGCUGGCAC